rnacentral:rRNA from 1 species
UAUGUACGGCUAAGCAUUGAGGCAGUCUAAAUAGGCAAAUCCGUUUAGACAAUGCUAGGAUGUGAUGGGGAAGCCCUUCGGGGCGAAGUAGCUGAUUUCACACUGUCAAGAAAAGCUUCUAUCGAGUUUAAAGGCGCCCGUACCGUAAACCGACACAGGUGGGUGAGGAGAGUAUCCUAAGGCCAGCGAGAGAACUAUUGUUAAGGAACUCGGCAAAAUGAUCCCGUAACUUAGGGAGAAGGGGUGCCUGUCUAUGACAGGCCGCAGAGAAUAGGCCCAAGCGACUGUUUACCAAAAACACAGGUUUCUGCUAAGUCGCAAGACGAUGUAUAGGAGCUGACGCCUGCCCGGUGCUGGAAGGUUAAGGGGAUCUGUUAGAGCAAUCGAAGCAGUGAACUUAAGCCCCAGUAAACGGCGGCCGUAACGAUAACGGUCCUAAGGUAGCGAAAUUCCUUGUCGGGUAAGUUCCGACCCGCACGAAAGGCGUAACGAUUUGGGCACUGUCUCAACAAUAGACUCGGUGAAAUUGUAAUCCCGGUGAAGAUGCCGGGUACCUGCGACAGGACGGAAAGACCCCAUGGAGCUUUACUGUAGCUUGACGUUGGGUCUUGGUACUACAUGUACAGGAUAGGUGGGAGACUAUGAAGCAUGGACGCCAGUCUGUGUGGAGUCAUCCUUGGGAUACCACCCUUGUAGUACUGGGAUCCUAACCAUAGGCCUUGAAUCAGGUCUUGGAACACCGUCAGGUGGGCAGUUUGACUGGGGCGGUCGCCUCCUAAAAAGUAACGGAGGCGCUCAAAGGUUUCCUCAGCACGGUCGGAAAUCGUGCGAAGAGUGUAAAGGCAAAAGGAAGCUUGAUUGCAAGACAUACAGGUCGAGCAAGGACGAAAGUCGGACUUAGUGAUCCGGUGGUACCGCAUGGAAGGGCCAUCGCUCAACGGAUAAAAGCUACCCUGGGGAUAACAGGCUUAUCUCCCCCAAGAGUCCACAUCGACGGGGAGGUUUGGCACCUCGAUGUCGGCUCAUCACAUCCUGGGGCUGUAGUAGGUCCCAAGGGUUGGGCUGUUCGCCCAUUAAAGUGGUACGCGAGCUGGGUUCAGAACGUCGUGAGACAGUUCGGUCCCUAUCCGUCGCAGGCGUAGGAAAUUUGAGAAGACCUGUCCUUAGUACGAGAGGACCGGGAUGGACGUACCUCUGGUGUACCAGUUGUUCUGCCAAGGGCAUGGCUGGGUAGCUAUGUACGGAAUGGAUAAGCGCUGAAAGCAUCUAAGCGCGAAGCCAACUUCAAGAUAAGAUUUCCCACCGUAAGGGUAAGACCCCAGGAAGACUACCUGGUUGAUAGGUCGAAGGUGUAAGUGCAGUAAUGUAUUUAGCUUAUCGAUACUAAUAGGUCGAGGACUUGAUC